CCGAGAGUGGGGCUCCGGCCCCGGGGGGGGCAAACCGCCCCCGACUCUUCACCCAUUGCGGACAUUAACCCUGUUGCUUUGGCGAGCCCCCGGGGGAACUCCCUGGGCUCAUCGCCAAUGGCCCAUGUAAAACGCUGUUUGGUGCAGUCGGAAUCCAGAUACACAAUCGUUUUUAAAACUUUCAACAACGGAUCUCUUGGCUCUGGCAUCGAUGAAGAACGCAGCGAAAUGCGAUAAGUAAUGUGAAUUGCAGAAUUCAGUGAAUCAUCGAAUCUUUGAACGCACAUUGCGCCCUUUGGUAUUCCGAGGGGCAUACCUGUUCGAGCGUCGUUGGCUCCCCUCAAGCUUGGCUUGGUCAUGGGCGUGCGUUCCUUCCGGGACGGGCCCGAAAAGCAGUGGCGGUUCGACCCGGGCUGCGAGCGUAGUAGUGAUUUCAUCCGCUCCGCCAGCCGCAGGUCGCGCUCGCCAGGCAACCUGACAUAUUUGUAUCGGUUGACCUCGGAUCA
rnacentral:rRNA from 1 species